CCUACGGGUGGCAGCAGUGGGGAAUAUUGGGCAAUGGGCGCAAGCCUGACCCAGCAACGCCGCGUGAAGGAAGAAGGCUUUCGGGUUGUAAACUUCUUUUAAGAGGGAAGAGCAGAAGACGGUACCUCUUGAAUAAGCCACGGCUAACUACGUGCACGCAGCCGCGGUAAUACGUAGGUGGCAAGCGUUGUCCGGAUUUACUGGGGGUAAAGGGCGUGGAGCCGGGAAGACAAGGCAGGUGGGAAAUCCCGGGGCUAAACCGCGGAACUGCAUGUGAAACUGUUUUGCUUGAGUACCGGAGAGGUGAGUGGAAUUCCUUGUGUAGCGGUGAAAUGCGUAGAUAUAAGGAAGAACACCAGUGGCGAAGGCGGAUGACUGGACGGCAACUGACGGUGAGGCGCGAAAGCGUGGGGAGCAAACAGGAUUAGAUACCCCAGUAGUC
rnacentral:rRNA from 1 species